rnacentral:rRNA from 1 species
GACGAACGCUGGCGGCGUGCUUAACACAUGCAAGUCGAACGGAAAGGCCCUGCUUGCAGGGUACUCGAGUGGCGAACGGGUGAGUAACACGUGGGUGAUCUGCCCUGCACUUCGGGGUAAGCCUGGGAAACUGGGUCUAAUACCGGAUAGGAGCCAUUUUUAGUGUGAUGGUUGGAAAUUUUUUUCGGUGUAGGAUGAGCUCGCGGCCUAUCAGCUUGUUGGUGGGGUAAUGGCCUACCAAGGCGGCGACGGGUAGCCGGCCUGAGAGGGUGGACGGCCACAUUGGGACUGAGAUACGGCCCAGACGCCUACGGGAGGCAGCAGUGGGGAAUAUUGCACAAUGGGGGCAAGCCUGAUGCAGCGACGCCGCGUGGGGGAUGACGGCCUUCGGGUUGUAAACGCCUUUCGCUAGGGACGAAGCUUUUUGUGACGGUACCUAGAUAAGAAGCACCGGCUAACUACGUG